ensembl:piRNA 21ur-853 ncRNA
UGUGCUACUCUUUGGUCAUAG